AAAAGCCUUUCGUCUCUGCCGGAUUACUCAACACAAGUACGAUAUUUCCCGGCUGCAGCAAGCUUCACAAUCCAGCACAGCACAAAUGCACUUCCUAUCUGAGGGGGAAAUCCUUGAGAAAGACGGAUAUCGGCUCCUGGCAUUCAACCAACAACAUUAGAUUUUUUUCAACUGUCUUAGAACCAAGAUGAAGCAGAAGUUAUAGGCCAGGUAGCAAAAGUGGGAAGACCCUAAUUGAGGACAAGCCCCUAGGACUCCAAACUGCAGACCGUUCCAGUGGAAGAAGAAGGAGACCUCCACUCAGGCUCUCCUAGACCUGCAAGCACUGCUUAUUUAGCAAUUAAUCUGAAACCACCUCCCAAAGGUUUAAUAAUAGGGAGCCAUCUGCAGAUGACUAGGCUCUUAUCUACUUCCAGCCCAUUUAAUUAUAUUACCAGCAAAAUGGCAAAUGGUGUUUUCUUCUUUAAAUUUGUGUUGCAGGAAAGAGCUUGAUAAUUAUGGUGCCUUUUAAAAUGUCUCACACAGCAGUUACUGACUGUUCCAGUUUAGUCUUCAUUAUUAAAAGCGCUUUUAUUUACCUGCUGCACUCAUAACAUGUCAUGUUUAUCAGCACGCAUAGUUUAUCCAUGCUGUCUGUCAUUUUAAUUGUUUUACUGACACAACAUCACAGGUCUAAAUGGAAUUAUACACAGCAGAUCAUUAAAAGGGUAAGAGAAAAGUGAAAACAUUUAAACUGUGAUGUGUUACUUAGCCUUUUAAAAAAUGGGAUCCCCCUUUUUCAAAAUGUACUAUUAUCUAGUAACAUUUACAGAACUUAACAAUUUUAUUUAUUUAUUUAUUUAAAUGUAACCCAGUGAGGUUAUGAGAUAACUGUUAGUAAAAAGAAAAUAUGACAUAUAAAUGUAAUGCAUGAUUAGCUGCACCCACAGUGGUGGAUAUCAAAAAGUCUUUAGAAAUCUAUAAAUACAGAGGAGGUCAGUCUGCAUAUUGAGGUUGUCUAGCGCAGUGGUACUCAACUCUGGCCCUCAAGGUCUAUUCCAGUU